rnacentral:tRNA from 1 species
GCGGCAGUAGCUCAGUCGUAGAGCCCCGCUUCCCAUGCCAGGAGACCUGGGUUCGAUUCCCGGUUGCUCCC